rnacentral:rRNA from 1 species
GACGAACGCUGGCGGCGUGCUUAACACAUGCAAGUCGAACGGAAAGGCCCUGCUUUUGUGGGGUGCUCGAGUGGCGAACGGGUGAGUAACACGUGAGUAACCUGCCCUUGACUUUGGGAUAACUUCAGGAAACUGGGGCUAAUACCGGAUAGGAGCUCCUGCUGCAUGGUGGGGGUUGGAAAGUUUCGGCGGUUGGGGAUGGACUCGCGGCUUAUCAGCUUGUUGGUGGGGUAGUGGCUUACCAAGGCUUUGACGGGUAGCCGGCCUGAGAGGGUGACCGGCCACAUUGGGACUGAGAUACGGCCCAGACUCCUACGGGAGGCAGCAGUGGGGAAUAUUGCACAAUGGGCGGAAGCCUGAUGCAGCAACGCCGCGUGCGGGAUGACGGCCUUCGGGCUGUAAACCGCUUUCGCCUGUGACGAAGCGUGAGUGACGGUAAUGGGUAAAGAAGCACCGGCUAACUACGUGCCAGCAGCCGCGGUGAUACGUAGGGUGCGAGCGUUGUCCGGAUUUAUUGGGCGUAAAGGGCUCGUAGGUGGUUGAUCGCGUCGGAAGUGUAAUCUUGGGGCUUAACCCUGAGCGUGCUUUCGAUACGGGUUGACUUGAGGAAGGUAGGGGAGAAUGGAAUUCCUGGUGGAGCGGUGGAAUGCGCAGAUAUCAGGAGGAACACCAGUGGCGAAGGCGGUUCUCUGGGCCUUUCCUGACGCUGAGGAGCGAAAGCGUGGGGAGCGAACAGGCUUAGAUACCCUGGUAGUCCACGCUGUAAACGGUGGGUACUAGGUGUGGGGUCCAUUCCACGGGUUCCGUGCCGUAGCUAACGCUUUAAGUACCCCGCCUGGGGAGUACGGCCGCAAGGCUAAAACUCAAAGGAAUUGACGGGGCCCCGCACAAGCGGCGGAGCAUGCGGAUUAAUUCGAUGCAACGCGUAGAACCUUACCUGGGUUUGACAUGGAUCGGGAGUGCUCAGAGAUGGGUGUGCCUCUUUUGGGGUCGGUUCACAGGUGGUGCAUGGCUGUCGUCAGCUCGUGUCGUGAGAUGUUGGGUUAAGUCCCGCAACGAGCGCAACCCUUGUUCACUGUUGCCAGCACGUUAUGGUGGGGACUCAGUGGAGACCGCCGGGGUCAACUCGGAGGAAGGUGGGGAUGACGUCAAGUCAUCAUGCCCCUUAUGUCCAGGGCUUCACGCAUGCUACAAUGGCUGGUACAGAGAGUGGCGAGCCUGUGAGGGUGAGCGAAUCUCGGAAAGCCGGCCUCAGUUCGGAUUGGGGUCUGCAACUCGACCUCAUGAAGUCGGAGUCACUAGUAAUCGCAGAUCAGCAACGCUGCGGUGAAUACGUUCCCGGGGCU